rnacentral:rRNA from 1 species
GAUCCUGGCUCAGGACGAACGCUGGCGGCGUGCCUAAUACAUGCAAGUCGAGCGGACAGAUGGGAGCUUGCUCCCUGAUGUCAGCGGCGGACGGGUGAGUAACACGUGGGUAACCUGCCUGUAAGACUGGGAUAACUCCGGGAAACCGGGGCUAAUACCGGAUGCUUGAUUGAACCGCAUGGUUCAAUUAUAAAAGGUGGCUUUUAGCUACCACUUACAGAUGGACCCGCGGCGCAUUAGCUAGUUGGUGAGGUAACGGCUCACCAAGGCAACGAUGCGUAGCCGACCUGAGAGGGUGAUCGGCCACACUGGGACUGAGACACGGCCCAGACUCCUACGGGAGGCAGCAGUAGGGAAUCUUCCGCAAUGGACGAAAGUCUGACGGAGCAACGCCGCGUGAGUGAUGAAGGUUUUCGGAUCGUAAAACUCUGUUGUUAGGGAAGAACAAUACCGUUCGAA